AUAGUAAUAGAAAAAGUAGUGGUAUAUAAUCCAGGUCGUGAUUUGACCUUCAUUUGUUAUUUUGUUACAUCAAUUUCCUCAAGAGCUUUGAAAACAUUUAAAAGGGGGGAAUAAAGCAAGAGAAGAAUAUUGCCAAAGGUUUUCUUUAUGCAUUAUAUAUAAUGGUUUGUAAUGCAAAUGCAAAUUGAUUUUCUGCACUCUACUGCAAAGAAACAGACAGGUUUUAAUCAUUUCCAGACUUUUUUAAAAAUCUGAAUACUAAAAGUUUAGAAAAUGAUGGAUUUUCUACCUGUGACAUUUGGUCUUGUGCAUGCUUUCAAGUGCAAGUGACCUCUUUUAAAUAUUCAAAAUAUGAUAUUAUCUAACCUUUCAUGACAUUUUUGUUUUCUAUGUUGAAUUUGAAGUAGUUGUAUUUGAUUUAUACUUUUUAAGUGUUGUAGACAAGAAAGAAUAAACAUGUAUGCCUCCAGGCCUCCACAGUAAAUUAGUGGAGCAGUAAACAUCAUCAUCAUCAACAACAACAACAACAAUAGAGAACGUAUUCAUUGGGUAUAAUUAGGAGUUUUGUACUGCAACGGGUACUGAAACCCCACCUUACAAUUUGGGUCCUUUUUAUUAAAGACAUUUAUGAAUUGGAGUAUUUCUCUAAUACCUCAGCUUCUUCAGAGCAAACCCAAUCCUUAAUUUGGGACAUCAGAAAUUCAUUCCUUAAUUACAGCCACACCCUUCGCUCUAGUAAGAAAGAUUAUCUCUGUCUAUCUUUCUCUCUCUCUAUUCAUGUAUAAGUCUAGAAAUGUUAGUCAAAAAGUUGACCCCAAUAACCUGGGUCAACUUAUCCAUAAAUUAAUGUCAGAACUGUACCUUAAUUCAUUUUUAAAAGGAGCCUUCCCCUUCUCUGAGUUGAGUGGUGAAAGGCCAAACAUCACCAGAUUCUUAAUUCUAGAGCCCCCCAUAGAUUAGAUCUCAAAGAUUGUCUUUAAGCUAAUUCUUAUUUCCCAUAUAGAUGAGCGGGAAAACACAUAACUAUUCCUAUAACCAAUGUAAGUCCUAGAUUAGGACUAGCAGGCAAAAUAUGAAACUAUAAGCACAGUAUGUGCAGUUGGGUGUAGAAAAUGUGCUGACAAAGAAUGUAAGCAGGUGUGUGUGUGUGUCUUGCUAUAAACAGUUCCACUUGCUCAUCUCAGCCACCACAAGCUCACAGCUGUCUUUCACCCCUUGCAUCUGUACAAAAAGCAUUGCACAUUUUUCUUUUUCUCUUUCUUUCUGUUCACAAGCUUAGUGGAAGUAAUCAGAUCUGUUUAUUGUAUACUUUGCAGUUACAGUUUCUUAUUACUUUGAACAUUAGAAUCUUGGUGACUCAGAGAGCAUCAGGCGUUUCAGAUUCUCAAGCGGGAACUGAUUUUUACAUGCUGAUUUAUGCAGCCCCUUGAAGAGAUUACACUGAACUGCUGAAUGCAAGUUGCCAUUAAACUGUGCAACAGUAAAUAAGUGUGCUAAUUUUCUAGUUCCGUACAAGUAUUUUAUUUAGAUGUCUCAGUGUGUAUGGUUUGCAAGCUGUGUGUAAUGAGCUAAUUUAUACUGCCCUAUUGCAACUCCCAUUAGUUGUAUCCAUUAAAACUUACUGCCAAUUACAUGUAGCUCUUUAAGCUCCCUUUGAAAGCUUGCUUUUUGUGUGGAAUUGUUUUGCCUUUGGAUUUCACACUAAGAGUCUACACUUACUACUUCCUAGGACACCAAAUACUGUUAACAUGUAAACAUGAUGCAUGAGUCUGAAAACAAAAGGUACCAUAUUUGCCUAGGUUAUAGAAGAGAAGAUUGCCUUUUGUGAUGUUAGCUCACAAGUCUCACCUCACUCAUGAAAUAUUCAUAAAAUAUGUAAAAUCGUCAUAUUCAUCUGUAAAAUAUGUAAUUCACAUAUCCAAUUUACAGAUAAGAAUCAAAGCACUUAGGUUUAAAUAACAAGCAAACUGGAAUUAUGUAAUUCUCUUCUCAAACCAAAGGCAACCUGGGGUUGCUUUGCAUGAGCAGAAAAAAAAAUGGAUUCUAAGGAACUUUUUCACACUUCCUGCCUUUCCAUCUCAAAUUCACCUCCUGGAGCAACUGGCCGUUUUUAAUAGGAGUUUGCUGUAUAAGCAUCAUGAGGCUUGGCGUUCUCUCUGAAACCUUGUGAGAUAUUAUCACAAAAAUUUGAAAUAUAUAGUCAUUCCACAUUCUGCGGGAUCCUCCAUAUUGUUGCUGAAUGAUGAAUGCCACCUGCCACCCCCCCCCCCCCCCAAAAAAAACAAAAGCGAAGAAUGAGGGAGGCCUUUCCUUCCCAAGGAAGAAGUAAUGGAUUGCGAGUCCUGCUUUCAUGGCCAAGAAGGUGUUCUCGCCUCUGCCUCUUGUCACUGCUUUCACUCUGAGUUUAUAAUAGUGGCAGGUUGCUUUCCGUGUUCUUCUUCUGCACCUAAGCUUUAUCCUUCAGUAUCCACAGGUUUCAUAGUAAAAAUCUUUAAUUUGAGCCCCCAAACCUGCCCUCAAACUUAUACAUAAGGGCAACAUAAACAUGAGCAUACAUAGUAAAUUGUGAUAUAUUGAGGAAAGAAUAAUAACUUGCAUCUUUGGGAUGAUCCUGUUUUUGUUUGUACAUGAGCAACUUGUGUUUCUCCACAAACAGUUGGUAAGAGACUUGAUAAAAUAUGAAGGAGAAUAAUAAAUCGCGAUUUGUGGCGUUCUUACUCUCUACAUGAUGUGAAUUUAUAAACAAUACAGAGAUUGGUAAAAAGCAUUAUCUUUAAAUUAGCAGGUCACUGGACAUAUGUUGUGUAUUGUUUUAGGGAACUCAUUAUACAUAUUAUCAUAUAUACUUUGAAAAUUGUGGGACAACCCUCUUUUCAUGACCCUGGACACUUUUGUGGGUGUGAACAAGACGAAGUCUAGAAUAGUUAUUUUAAUUUACUGGAAUUCUUUUUUUUUUUGUGGGUAAACAGUUUAUUAAUGAAACGUUACAUAACAAAACAGCAAAUUAUCGCAAAUAUAGUCAGAUUUACUGGAAUUCUUUAAUAAAUAUUGGGUUCUGACGGGAGCCCAAUACAGGGAGCAGUCAGCCCUCCUGCUUAAGGAGCUCCACUGGCUGCCGUUCAUUUUCCGGACCCAAUUCAAAUUGCUGGUGAUUACCUAUAAAGCUCUGAACAGUUUGGGACCCAUCUACCUUCAGGAUCGUCUCUCCCCCUACGAACCUGUACGGUCUCUUCGGUCAUCGGGGGAGGCCCUCCUCUCGCUUCCGCCAGCGUCACAAGCGAGGUUGGUGGGAACGAGAGAGAGGGCCUUCUCUGUAGUGGCCCCCCAGCUCUGGAAUUCGCUGCCUAGGGAGAUCAGGCAAGCCCCCACCUUGAUGGCGUUUCGGAAGAGCCUGAAAACCUGGCUUUUCACCCAGGCCUUUGGUUUAGAUUGCCCAUCCCCAUCAUAAUUACAAUUAUACUCCUCGACUUUUGUACUGGUUGCUCUUUUCCUGAUUACUUGAUAUCAAUUCAGGGCUCCUCCCUACCUAAUGUGACCUUAAAUGAAUCUAUUGCCCUUUAUCUAUUUACAAAUUUGUAACUCAUAAUGUGCACCUUGCUUAUCCGCUAUUGCAACCUCAUUGUUUUUAAUUUGAUGUUUUAAUACUGUGUUGUGCUUUUUUCGUUUACUGUGUAUAUAUUACUAUUGGUUUUGUUAUUGUUCUUUGAUGUUUCAUAUUUUAUCAUUGCUUUGUAUCUGAUUUUGCUGUAAGCCACCCCGAGUCCCCUUCGGGGGAGAUGGAGGCGGGAUAUAAAUAAACUUAUUAUUAUUAUUUAAGAUGUAUAUUGUACUGUGGCUUGCAACGAAUAAAUCCUCUUCUUUAAAACAAUUCAUAGUAUUGAUCUCAGUAAAACUGAAGUUUCUUUUUAAUUGCCCUAGCCCUUGUCAUAAUUGUGCCUUACAAAAAGAACUACUAGAGCAAGGAAAUGCUCUGUUAGCAGUAUUUUUUUUAUUGUUCUGUAAUUUAUUAUUAGAGUAGAGCCUGCAGGAAUCUUUGAAUGCUCAAUGUUUUUCAUGUUUUGCUUUAACUUUUAUUUUAAAAUCUUCUUAAUGGAACCAAAAAAUCUUGCUUUUAAAGCUAGCCUGAUGCUUCGGCUUCCAUGUUUUCAUCUUACUGCACUUGCAUAUAAUUGUUCUGUGAUGUGGCAAGGAUAUAUUUAUUAUUAUUGGUACAUAUUAAUAUGCUUCAUUUGGCCACAAGGCCACAUAAGCUGUACAGUUUAUUAACACGGACAAGGUAUUUAUUACAUAAAGAGGGUAAAGUAUCUUAUCUAAUACCAGGGCAGUAGACAGCAGCCAUGAAUUUAGUGCAAUUAUAAGGUGCUUGUAAACUGCAAUUUAUAAACUACUGUUUGAGAGCCUAGGAAAUGCAAUUGUGUGAAAUGCAAGGGAUAAUUAAAGUCAUACAUAAAUAUAAUGCUGUCUUUAUACAUUUUAGGGACAGCCUACCUUAGAAUUCCUUAUUUCCAUUUGCUCAGUUGCAGGCUCUGAUUCACCAAUGAUUCACUCCUAGUAAUUCUAGAGGUGCCUCAGACUAAACUCCCAUCUACACGGUCCAUUUAAUGCUGUUUGAAGCUUGUUUCAAGUUAUGGCAGUUAGACAACAAGUUUUCAUAACGGUGUGCAAAGGAAUGCCCUUAUUGUGCACCACUUCUCUGUAGUUUAUGUUAUGGUUGAGCCUUAUGGCUCCAAUACUGGGAGACGUGGUCGUAAGACUCCUCGAGAGUCAGACUCUCUUGAGGAGCGAGAGAGGAAACGGCUGCGGGACUUAUUUGCAGAACCAACAGACGAAGAUUCCUCUGAGGGUUUUACCGAGGGAAUGGAGGAAGAGGUGGUUAGCUCAGAAGAGGAUGACAUGGAAUGGACUCGUGUGAGGGAGGAUUUGGGUGUUCCUGGUAAUGAUAGCAUGGGAAGCGACUGCCGGGUUGCAGGAUCGGACCCGUGGACGAGUUGGAGGGAUGGAACGGGAUCCACAGCUGGGGAUGCUGUGGGGCGUAGUCAAAGAUGUUUUAGCUCUGAUGAGGAUGAUGAUGAUGAGGCACCUGGAAUUAGGGGAACAGCUGAUAGUGAUGAGGAGUUGUAAACUGGCAUAAAAUGGGGUUUUGAAUCCAGAGCUAAUUGCGUUGGGCAAGGUAAUCUGGACGAACGCUUGGGCUCUUGUUGGGAAUUUCCUGAAGACGGGUGUGUUUCGUUUGCUGAAUACCUUGGACCUCCGUCGUCUUCUUGACGGACAUUAAUUGCCUAUUCUGGAUUGACGCUGGACUGACUGACUGACUACGACCUCGGACUACUCCUUCUGUGGCUUUCGGUGGAAUUGGUGAACCCAAGACAUCUGUACCUGGCUUUCGACCUCGGACCGGACUGGGACCCUGCUGACCGUUGCUACCCUGAUUGAAGUGCCUGGAUCCGGAUUCCGUUUGUUGCAGCUUUCGAGUAGCAGAGAGGAAUCUGCUGCCAGCUAUUUAUGUUUCUUUGAAUCCUUGUUUACCAACUUUUGUUUGUUUAAAUUGCCAGGCUGAAGUAAGCAUUUUCUGUUUAACCCGGAUUAAACUCCUGUUUAAUCCGGUUUAUCUUUUGAACCGCUUUUAGUAUCAGCGGAGUCUUUUUUGUGUAUCUUUUACAUUGAAGGCAAGUGUUGGCCUAGUCCUUUGUUUCAUACGGGCACUUUUUAGCCCUGUAACUUUAAUAAACUGUGUUGAACUUUA